rnacentral:rRNA from 1 species
UACGGGGGGGGCAAGCGUUGUUCGGAAUUACUGGGCGUAAAGCGUGCGCAGGCGGUCUUGCAAGACAGAUGUGAAAUCCCCGGGCUUAACCUGGGAACUGCAUUUGUGACUGCAAGGCUGGAGUGCGGCAGAGGGGGAUGGAAUUCCGCGUGUAGCAGUGAAAUGCGUAGAUAUGCGGAGGAACACCGAUGGCGAAGGCGCCACUCUGGGCCGUAACUGACGCUGAGGAGCGAAAGCGUGGGUAGCAAACAGG